UACAGAGGGGGCAAGCGUUGUCCGGAUUUACUGGGCGUAAAGAGCGCGCAGGCGGUCGUUCAAGUCGCGUGUGAAAGCCCCCGGCUCAACUGGGGAGGGUCACGCGAUACUGAUCGACUCGAAGGCAGGAGAGGGUAGUGGAAUUCCCGGUGUAGUGGUGAAAUGCGUAGAUAUCGGGAGGAACACCAGUGGCGAAGGCGACUACCUGGCCUGUUUCUUGACGCUGAGGCGCGAAAGCUAGGGGAGCAAACGGG
rnacentral:rRNA from 1 species